rnacentral:rRNA from 1 species
GAUGGCGACCGGCGCACGGGUGAGUAACACGUAUCCAACCUUCCGGUUACUCGGGGAUAGGCUUUCGAAAGAAAGAUUAAUACCCGAUGUUGUGUAUCUUUCUCCUGAUUGAUACGCCAAAGGAUUCCGGUAACCGAUGGGGAUGCGUUCCAUUAGGCAGUUGGCGGGGUAACGGCCCACCAAACCUUCGAUGGAUAGGGGUUCUGAGAGGAAGGUCCCCCACAUUGGAACUGAGACACGGUCCAAACUCCUACGGGAGGCAGCAGUGAGGAAUAUUGGUCAAUGGACGGAAGUCUGAACCAGCCAAGUAGCGUGAAGGAUGACUGCCCUCUGGGUUGUAAACUUCUUUUAUACGGGAAUAACAUGAGGUACGGGUACCUUAUUGCAUGUACCGUUAUGAAUAAGCAUCGGCUAACUCCGUGCCAGCAGCCGCGGUAAUACGGAGGAUGCGAGCGUUAUCCGGAUUUAUUGGGUUUAAAGGGAGCGUAGGUGGGAUAUUAAGUCAGCUGUGAAAGUUUGGGGCUCAACCUUAAAAUUGCAGUUGAUACUGGUUUUCUUGAGUACGGUAUAGGUGGGCGGAAUUCGUGGUGUAGCGGUGAAAUGCUUAGAUAUCACGAAGAACUCCUAUUGCGAAGGCAGCUCACUGGACCGGCACUGACACUGAUGCUCGAAAGUGCGGGUAUCAAACAGGAUUAGAUACCCUGGUAGUCCGCACAGUAAACGAUGAAUACUCGCUGUUUGCGAUACACUGUAAGCGGCCAAGCGAAAGCGUUAAGUAUUCCACCUGGGGAGUACGCCGGCAACGGUGAAACUCAAAGGAAUUGACGGGGGCCCGCACAAGCGGAGGAACAUGUGGUUUAAUUCGAUGAUACGCGAGGAACCUUACCCGGGCUUAAAUUGCGCUGGCUUUUACCGGAAACGGUAUUUUCUUCGGACCAGCGUGAAGGUGCUGCAUGGUUGUCGUCAGCUCGUGCCGUGAGGUGUCGGCUUAAGUGCCAUAACGAGCGCAACCCUUAUCUUUAGUUGCCAUCAGGUUUUGCUGGGGACUCUAAAGAGACUGCCGUCGUAAGAUGCGAGGAAGGUGGGGAUGACGUCAAAUCAGCACGGCCCUUACGUCCGGGGCUACACACGUGUUACAAUGGGGAGCACAGCAGGUUGCUACACGGCGACGUGAUGCCAAUCCGUAAAACUCCUCUCAGUUCGGAUCGAAGUCUGCAACCCGACUUCGUGAAGCUGGAUUCGCUAGUAAUCGCGCAUCAGCCACGGCGCGGUGAAUACGUUCCCGGGCCUUGUACACACCGCCGUCAAG